CUCACAAAAGGUCCUCCUGCCUCAGCCUGCCAAGUGCUGGGAUUACAGGCGUGUGCCACCAUGCCCAGCUUGCACAUGUACUGUGUCUGUCCUCCCAUGUAGCUGUCCUAAAUGUGGUUAGAUUUGGAAGCAUUUUCUACCAUGUGGUAGGCAACACUAUUACACAGUGAGUCGAAUGCACAUGCACCAAACCAUUUUUCUUGCUGUAGUUUAAUGGAAUGGGAAAAUAGAAUAGCGGUUUCCUGUGGAGAAUAAGGAGAACGAGCAGUUAGGAAUCAAGUUGGAUGCCAUGUAUGAUCGUAACAGGUUCCCCUUGAGACUGUAUCCUAGGACAGUAAACCCCAUAACCUGAGGUUGACCUUGAGAAUUAAUUUUUUGAUGCAUCUGCUCUCUGGUAACAGACACCCCAGGUAAACAACUAACAGCAGUUUUUAACAUUCUCCUGCCCUUGCCAGCCCUCAACCAGUUCUUAGCAAAUUAGGGGCGGCCUCCCAGCCCAGAAGCGGCUAUGUUUUGGUGACCUUGUACGCCACUGAUUACCCGGCAUUGUCUGAUCCCUGCUGUGAGGCAUCAAUUCGAAGAUAACACUGGAAGGACACCCUCUUGGAUGUGUAUUCAAGCCAUUUGGACACAAUGUUUGUACUUUUUCUUAUUGAUUACUAUUCUGAAGUCAUUUCUGAAAGAAAGUCUGCCUUGUGUGAAACUCAGCAUGAGGCCAGAACGUUA